UACAGAGGGUGCGAGCGUUAAUCGGAAUUACUGGGCGUAAAGCGUGCGUAGACGGUUAUUUAAGUCGGAUGUGAAAGCCCCGGGCUCAACCUGGGAAUUGCAUUCGAGACUGAAUAGCUAGGGUACGGUAGAGGGAAGUGGAAUUUCCGGUGUAGCGGUGAAAUGCGUAGAUAUCGGAAAGGAACAUCAGUGGCGAAAGCGACUUCCUGGACCAGUACCGACGUUCAGGCACGAAAGCGUGGGGAGCAAACAGG
rnacentral:rRNA from 1 species